UACGGAGGGGGCAAGCGUUGUUCGGAUUUACUGGGCGUAAAGGGCGCGUAGGCGGCGUGACAAGUCACUUGUGAAAUCUCCGGGCUUAACUCGGAACUGCCAAGUGAUACUGUCGUGCUAGAGUGCAGAAGGGGCAAUCGGAAUUCCUGGUGUAGCGGUGGAAUGCGCAGAUAUCAGGAGGAACACCGGUGGCGAAGGCGGGUCUCUGGGCAGUAACUGACGCUGAGGAGCGAAAGCGUGGGGAGCGAACAGG
rnacentral:rRNA from 1 species